GACGGAGGUCCCGAGCGUUGUUCGGAAUUAUUGGGCUUAAAGCGCGUGUAGGCGGGACGGUAAGUACCUUGUGAAAUCCCCGGACUCAAUCCGGGAACUGCUUGGUAUACUGCCGACCUCGAGGCAGGUAGGGGUCACUGGAACCUUAGGUGGAGCGGUGAAAUGCGUAGAUAUCUAAGGGAACGCCUGUGGCGAAAGCGGGUGACUGGGCCUGUCCUGACGCUGAGACGCGAAAGCGUAGGGAG
rnacentral:rRNA from 1 species